GACGAACGCUGGCGGCGUGCUUAACACAUGCAAGUCGAACGGGAGUAUCAAAGAAGCUUGCUUUUAAGAUACUUUAGUGGCGGACGGGUGAGUAACGCGUGAGGAGCUGUCCUAUGCAGGGGGACAACAGUUGGAAACGACUGCUAAUACCCCAUAAGCCGAGAGGUAAAAGGAUUUAUCCGGCAAAGGAGGUACUCGCGUCCUAUCCGCUAGUAGGUGGGGUAACGGCUCACCUAGGCGAAGACGGGUAGCCGGGCUGAGAGGGCGAACGGCCACACUGGAACUGGGAUACGGUCCAGACUCCUACGGGAGGCAGCAGUGGGGAAUAUUGGGCAAUGGGGGAAACCCUGACCCAGCGACGCCGCGUGGGUGAAGAAAUCCUUCGGGAUGUAAAGCCCUGUUGUAUGGGAAGAGCAGAAGACGGUACCAUACGAGGAAGCCCCGGCAAACUACGUGCCAGCAGCCGCAGUAA
rnacentral:rRNA from 1 species